rnacentral:rRNA from 1 species
CGCCCUUAGAGUUUGAUCAUGGCUCAGAUUGAACGCUGGCGGCAGGCCUAACACAUGCAAGUCGGACGGUAAGAGAGCUUGCUCUCGACGAGUGGCGGACGGGUGAGUAAUGUCUGGGAAACUGCCCGAUGGAGGGGGAUAACUACUGGAAACGGUAGCUAAUACCGCAUAACGUCGCAAGACCAAAGUGGUUCGUCACACCAUCGGAUGUGCCCAGAUGGGAUUAGCUAGUAGGUGGGGUAACGGCUCACCUAGGCGACGAUCCCUAGCUGGUCUGAGAGGAUGACCAGCCACACUGGAACUGAGACACGGUCCAGACUCCUACGGGAGGC